rnacentral:rRNA from 1 species
UAGGGAAUCUUCGGCAAUGGACGGAAGUCUGACCGAGCAACGCCGCGUGAGUGAAGAAGGUUUUCGGAUCGUAAAGCUCUGUUGGUAGAGAAGAACGUUGGUAGGAGUGGAAAAUCUACCAAGUGACGGUAACUAACCAGAAAGGGACGGCUAACUACGUGCCAGCAGCCGCGGUAAUACGUAGGUCCCGAGCGUUGUCCGGAUUUAUUGGGCGUAAAGCGAGCGCAGGCGGUUCUUUAAGUCUGAAGUUAAAGGCAGUGGCUUAACCAUUGUACGCUUUGGAAACUGGUGGACUUGAGUGCAGAAGGGGUGAGUGGAAUUCCAUUUGUAGCGCUGACAUGCGUAGAUAUAUGGAGGCACACCGGUGGCGAAAGCGGCUCUCUGGUCUGUAACUGACGCUGAGGCUCGAAAGCGUGGGGAGCAAACAGG